UCGAGGAUCUUCGGCAAUGGGCGCAAGCCUGACCGAGCGACGCCGCGUGUGCGACGAAGGCCUUCGGGUUGUAAAGCACUGUCGAGAGGGAGAAAAGGGCAACCUUGAUCUAUCUCUGGAGGAAGCACGGGCUAAGUUCGUGCCAGCAGCCGCGGUAAGACGAACCGUGCGAACGUUGUUCGGAAUCACUGGGCUUAAAGGGCGCGUAGGCGGGCUGCCGCGUCCGGGGUGAAAUCCUCCGGCUCAACCGGAGAACGGCCUCGGAUACGGGCGGCCUCGAGGGGGGUAGGGGCAUCUGGAACUGUGAGUGGAGCGGUGAAAUGCGUUGAUAUUCACAGGAACUCCGGUGGCGAAGGCGAGGUGCUGGACCCCUUCUGACGCUGAGGCGCGAAAGCCAGGGGAGCGAACGGGAUUAGAUACCCCCGUAGUCC
rnacentral:rRNA from 1 species